CUUUCUUUUGCUGGCGACCGGCGCACGGGUGAGUAACACGUAUCCAACCUGCCCUUUACUCGGGGAUAGCCUUUCGAAAGAAAGAUUAAUACCCGAUAGCAUAAUGAUUCCGCAUGGUUUCAUUAUUAAAGGAUUCCGGUAAAGGAUGGGGAUGCGUUCCAUUAGGUUGUUGGUGAGGUAACGGCUCACCAAGCCUUCGAUGGAUAGGGGUUCUGAGAGGAAGGUCCCCCACAUUGGAACUGAGACACGGUCCAA
rnacentral:rRNA from 1 species